AGUUCGUUAUUGUUGUUGUGUCGUGACCAUGUGUUUUCGCUUACCAUUUCGUGGGUUAUUCUUAGUGCUGUCGACUGUUGGUCUCCGGCGCGUAAGUAUUAUUUUCCUGUUGUACAUCCAACACGGCUAUCUUCGUGGCCGGCCGUUCGUAGAUUCCGGUGCUUGUAGCUACGGUUGCGCGCCGGACUUGCCCGUCCCUCGACUGGAUGACCGCCACUACCCGUCCCUUGGGCCAAGUGUUUCGGGGAAGGUUUGGAUCCACGAUCACUACAAUGUCGCCCUCCUUAAUCGGACGAACCGGAUGAUGCCACUUAACUCUGCGCGUUAAGGUCGGGUAGCGAUGUCGUCACUGAAUACUGCUUUCGGUGCCUCUCCGUUAGCUGUCCCUAGCAGAAAGUGGUUCGGGGUUAAAGGAAGCUCGGAUUCGCUGUCAAGUGGUACCUGUGUAAGAGGGCGAGAAUUAAGCAUCGCUUCGAUCUCCGUUAAUGCAGUCGUUAACACUUCGUCGGUUGGUAGCCGAGACAUCCGUAUUUCGCUCAUCGCCUUCUUGACGGAUCGCACUAGUCGUUCCCAGCAGCCUCCAAAGUGUGGUCCACCAGGCCUCAGCAAGCUCUCGCGAUGCACCGACGAAGUUCGUACCGUUGUCGUUGAUGAAUUCCAAAGAUUGCCCACGCCUAGCGAUGAAACGACGUAUAGCUAAGAUGCAUGAUGAUGUGGUCAGGGAGUGCACAGCCUCUAGAUGGAUGCCCCUGGUGGUGAGACAGGUGAAGAGAACGCCCCAACGUUUUUCGACUCGUCGACCAACUGCUACGGGAACCGGGCCAAAAUAGUCGACGCCCGUGAAUGAGAACGGCUUCUGAUAAGCAGAAAGACGCUCGGAGGGAAGGUUCCCCAUCUCUGGAGGCUCUGGCUUGGCAUCACGGUUUUUGCAGUGCUGACAUGUCCUACGGAUACGAUUGAAUUCGGCUUGCAGUCUCGGCAUUUGUAUCUUCUCAUAGCCAUGUCACGAGAGCAUGGCAACUUAACAUCGUCAAAACGCCACAGCACUCUGGAUUCAUAAUGCUUUCCGUUGAAUUUCGAUUCUGCGUUGAGAAUCCCCAACGCUCGCUUAUCAUCCUUUGAACGAAGUGUUUCCAACGGUUUGACGAUACCGAGCGAUUCGAGCGUAAAAAAGUUUUUUACCGCUGCGUCCAGAUUGGCUUCUGCAUCUGCGCCGCAGUUGCAUAUGUGGAUGGUAUGUAUUGCUUGUAUGUUAACACUGUUGGAGUUCUUAUUACGUGGGCCAUAUACGAUCCAUCCCAAUGACGUCUUUGCCGCAACGGGCUCAUAUUUCCCACCUUCCGCGUAACGAGUCGGUCGAACCAAAUGAUGGUUGUCGAUACCAAUGAGCAAUCGAGGCCUAGCGUUUUCGUACGCAUGAAUUGGCAAACCCUGUAGAUGCGCGUACUGUUUAGUCAGUUGUGUCACUGCCAGAGUCUGGGCUGGUAGAGAAAGGCUUUGCACCGUGUGCACCUUUGGGAUAAUAUGUACACUGCUGUUUUGCCCGACUCCUGAAAUCUCCAAAAGUGACACGCGAAUUGAACCCGUUUCGUCACUUCAGGCACAGAGGAUGGGGCUGUCCUUCCAGACCGAGCUCCUCAAUUAGGCUAUGCUCGAUGAAGGUACCGGUAGAUCCACUGUCAAAAAAGGCAAAGGUCGUGAUGGCCUUGUCUCGCCCGUAAACUAUUACAGGAAUGUAUUUUAAAAAUACAUCACCGGUAACCUCAGAAUGCGCGUUCAGUGAUGCUGUGGCAACCGCGUACUCGUUUGGUUAUGAAUGGCGCUCGGGAUUGUGUAAUAGUUCGUGGUGCAGAUACUCG